rnacentral:lncRNA from 1 species
AGUAAUUCUGAUCCACAGAAGAAGACAGUGCUGCUUGUUAAAAAUGGGCCCUUAGGGGAGCAGGUGAUAUGAUUUGAAAAGCUCACGGCCAAGGGUCUCUGGCCAAGCUUAAAUGAACUACGCUUCACACGUGACAGGAUUGAACUCUCACCUGUAGUCACAGUGCACUCCUGUUCACAGGCAGCUAGCUGCAAGGGCAGUGGCUGAGUGGGAGAAAAUGUUAGUUUGCUGUUGCCAAACCAAGUAUAGGCUCAAGAAACUCCGGGCCCAAGAGGCAUACUUUGGAGGGAGAAGUUUGCUGAAGUGCAGAGCAAGGGAGAUUGAAAACAGGAAUAUUAAGAGGUAGGGAGGGGGCCAGGUCUCAUAAACACAUCAAGGGUUUUCAUCUUUAUCCUAAGAAUAACUGGAAACUUUCACUCUGGAUAUAUUACAAGAACUGGAAUGGAAAUCCCUUUAAAAAAAAAGGUGAAGAAUGUUUGGUUUGAAAUAAAUGACCAAAUAGGAGUUCUGUCUCCAGCAGUAUGACAAAUUAA